rnacentral:rRNA from 1 species
ACGGGGUAGUAAUGUGUCGGAACGUGCCCUCUGGACGGGGAUAGCGGCGGGAAACUGCCGGUAAUACCCGAUGAACUCGAGAGAGCAAAGGUGUGAUUCCGCCGGAGGAGCGGCCGACAUGGUAUUAGCUAGUUGGCGGGGUAACGGCCCACCAAGGCUGUGAUGCCUAGGGGAUGUGAGAGCAUGAUCCCCACCAUUGGGACUGAGACACUGCCCAGACACCUACGGGUGGCUGCAGUCGAGAAUCUUCGUCAAUGGGCGAAGGCCUGAACGAGCGACGCCGCGUGUGGGAUGAAGGCCUUUGGGUUGUAAACCACUGUCGAGGGGGAUGAAGGCAUUCAGGUCCUCCUGAAUGUUUGACAGAGCCCUGGAGGAAGCACGGGCUAAGUUCGUGCCAGCAGCCGCGGUAAUACGAACUGUGCGAACGUUAUUCGGAAUCACUGGGCUUACAGGGUGCGUAGGCGGCUUAGCAAGUCAGGUGUGAAAGCCCCCGGCUCAACCGGGGAACUGCGCUUGAAACUGCUGAGCUCGAGUCAGCUAGAGGUACACGGAACUUCCAGUGGAGCGGUGAAAUGUGUUGA